rnacentral:rRNA from 1 species
CGAACGGGUGAGUAACACGUGGAUAACCUACCGAAAAGCAGGGGAUAACAUUUGGAAACAGAUGCUAAUACCGUAUAAAACGUGCUGUCGCAUGACAAAACGUUAAAAGGUCGUUUGGACCACUUUUUGAGAUGGAUUCGCGGUGCAUUAGUUAGUUGGUGGGGUAAAGGCUCACCAAGACGAUGAUGCAUAGCCGAGUUGAGAGACUGACCGGCCACAUUGGGACUGAGACACGGCCCAAACUCCUACGGGAGGCUGCAGUAGGGAAUCUUCCACAAUGGGCGCAAGCCUGAUGGAGCAACGCCGCGUGUGUGAUGAAGGCUUUCGGGUCGUAAAGCACUGUUGUAUGGGAAGAACGGUAAGGGUAGGAAAUGAUCUUUACAUGACGGUACCAUACCAGAAAGGGACGGCUAAAUACGUGCCAGCAGCCGCGGUAAUACGUAUGUCCCGAGCGUUAUCCGGAUUUAUUGGGCGUAAAGCGAGCGCAGACGGUUUGAUAAGUCUGAAGUGAAAGCCCACAGCUCAACUGUGGAAGUGCUUUGGAAACUGUCGAACUUGAGUGCAGUAGAGGUAAGUGGAACUCCAUGUGUAGCGGUGGAAUGCGUAGAUAUAUGGAAGAACACCAGUGGCGAAGGCGGCUUACUGGACUGCAACUGACGUUGAGGCUCGAAAGUGUG